rnacentral:rRNA from 1 species
UACGGAGGGGGCUAGCGUUGUUCGGAAUUACUGGGCGUAAAGCGCACGUAGGCGGCUUUGUAAGUUAGAGGUGAAAGCCCGGAGCUCAACUCCGGAAUCGCCUUUAAGACUGCAUCGCUAGAAUUGUGGAGAGGUAAGUGGAAUUCCGAGUGUAGAGGUGAAAUUCGUAGAUAUUCGGAAGAACACCAGUGGCGAAGGCGACUUACUGGACACAUAUUGACGCUGAGGUGCGAAAGCGUGGGGAGCAAACAGG